CUGCCUUCCCCUCUCAGGUCUGAGCCACCGCCUUGUGUGGCCCUGCGGGUCUUUCCACGUGUGCCAGUGAGCAGGGAGGAUGACGCCCGCUUCGGGGGCUGCGUGCCCACCUGAGUGUCCACGCAAACCUGCAGAGUGGGGGCUGGAAGUGCGCGUGUGUGCACAGUAAGCCCUGUGCUGCGGAGUGUGGGCGGUGUGUAGGUGUCCCUGAGAUGUGUGUGUGUCAGGUGUGUGAACAAGUGUGCAGGCAUCCUUGUUGGGGAGGCGUGCAGAUCACUGCUGACCUGGCUCUCCCGAGAGCCGCGCAGACAGCUGAGGCAGGCAGCGCAAACACAAGUGAGAGAGACGCCUGGGAGGACGUCGUGCGUCGUGCCCGGCCCUACUCCUGUGCGCGACCUGAGGGCCAAUGGACUCACAUCCUCAGCAGCUGCUCCCCAUCCUGAACACCGUCCUGCCCCGAAGAUCCUAACUCCCACGUCUCAGGGUUGCUGUUCGCUCCAGGACAGCCUUCACCCGCUGACUCAGCUGCGCAGGGUCUUCCGGUUACAGUGACUUCCCUUCCGUCUCAACUCCGCCACCCACUCCCAUGGCUGCACAAGGGCCAGCCACUCCCUGGCAUUGCUCCAGCUGGGAAACCCAGAAUGCAGUCCUGUCUGUCUCUGACUGCACCUGCCAAAGUCCGCCAGCUGCUUCUUGGCUCGU
rnacentral:lncRNA from 1 species